GCUUGAUGGAUUGAGGAGAUGGACAUUUUCAGUUCAGUGAGUUGUGGGGUUUUAAUUGGAGAAAGAUGCGUCCUUGUUAUGGUGUUGAAGACCCACUCUUGUCUCAGUGCAACCCCAACGUGACCUUUGUGUAGCCCAAUGGAAGAAAUGGCCCAAAGCAGACCGAGUUUCAUCUUGUUUGGGGGAUUUGCUGCAUCCUGUCUCUGUUUCACAGUUUUGUGUAUCAUUUCAACAUGAUGAUAUUGUCCAUGCUCCUAUCUAACAGAUCUGAUGAUGAAGUUUAAUUAAGGGUAGUUUGAGCGAGGGGUCCAGGGGGGUGUAGUAUCAAAGCUUGUAUCCGUCUCUCCCAAUGUCAGUCAUGACUGGCCAUCAGGGGCAGUGCCCUGGAGGAGGGUGAGAGAGAGCGGGGGAUACAGUAAAACUGGGGAUCGGAGGGGGCUUGGCUGUGACUUUGCCCCAGGAUGGGGACCAGGGACAAGGGUCUGAGUAUGUGAGUGACAACCCAGAAGGGCCACCAAGUCAUCCGUUUCACUCAGAGGCAGCCGUUGACUUUGUGCGUGUGUGUGUGCGUGUGUGUGUGUGUGUGUGUGUAUAGCAGUGUUUGUGUCCACUUAGGCCAGAGCGCAGGGCACAGACAACCUUCUGCUUGCUGCCACAGCGAUGCCUUUGCCAUGUCGAUGGCCUGGGUGCCGUGGAGACGAGGGGUCAAGGCUGACUCUAUGACAGGGCCACUCCGGGCUGCUACCCAGCUGCCCCGGCAGCGCUACUAAUUAAUUGUGAAAUUAUAGUGGCCUCUAUCUCUGUCUCUCCCCCCCUUCCUCCCAGUCUAUCCAUUCUCAUAUGACUGCAGAGUUCUUUGGGGGACAUAGACUAGCUGUACAGGGACUCUAUCCCCUGGGACAGAAACCAGCUGUACAGGGACACUAUCCCCUGGGACAGAGACUAGCUGUACAGGGACUCUAUCCCCUGGGACAGAGACCAGCUGUACAGGGACACUAUCCCCUGGGACAGAGACCAGCUGUACAGGGACUCUAUCCCCUGGGACAGAGACCAGCUGUACAGGGACACUAUCCCCUGGGACAGAGACCAGCUGUGCAGGGACACUAUCCCCUGGGACAGAGACUAGCUGUACAGGGACACUGUCCCCUGGGACAGAGACCAGCUGUACAGGGACACUAUCCCCUGGGACAGAGACCAGCUGUGCAGGGACACUAUCCCCUGGGACAGAGACCAGCUGUGCAGGGACACUAUCCCAUGGGACAGAGACCAGCUGUGCAGGGACACUAUCCCUUGGGACAGAGACUAGCUGUACAGGAACACUAUCCCCUGGGACAGAGACCAGGUGUGCAGGGACACUAUCCCCUGGGACAGAGACUAGCUCUACAGACUCUUUCAAUUGACCCAGAGCAUCCCAAUGUGUCGCAUGUCAGUUAAUGAGGAAGGGACAGAUUGUGUGUGUUCAUUUGUUGCUUGCUCUAUUCCCUGUCUCUGUGGUUGCUGCCUCUGACGUAGAGGGAGAGCCAUGGCCUUGUCAGUGGAUGGAUAUCCUUGUUCUGCUCAGCGCUGCCUUUAUUUGUCAGAGAUCAUUAGGCCUUGUUCUAAGAGCCUGGUGUUGCCCUGCUAUCAAACUGUCAACGCUGAAAGGCUACUCUUCCCGUUCACUGGUCACCUGCCAUUUCUCUGGAACUUUGUGUGUGUGUGUGUGUG
rnacentral:lncRNA from 1 species